AACGUAGGAGGCGAGCGUUAUCCGGAGUUACUGGGCGUAAAGCGUGUGUAGGUGGCUUGUUACGUCUGCUGUGAAAUGUCCCGGCUUAACCGGGACUAGGCGGUAGAUACGGGCAAGCUAGAGGGUGACAGAGGAGAGUAGAAUUCCGGGUGUAGUGGUGAAAUGCGUAGAGAUCCGGAGGAAUACCAGUGGCGCAAGCGGCGCUCUGGGUCGAGCCUGACACUGAGACGCGAAGGCAUGGGGAGCGAACGGG
rnacentral:rRNA from 1 species